rnacentral:lncRNA from 1 species
AUGGAUAUAGAACCCAAAGGUCCAGGAGGAACAGAAUGGCUUAAGAAAAUGUAUUGUAGCCAUGACCAAGGAAAGAUCCCUGGGUUUCCCUUAACCUGGCACCCAACUCAAAUGCAUCUGUCCUGCUUUUUCCUCAGAGUCACCACAAAGAGUCCUCUAGCCUCUAGUGACUCUCCAGAUAUAUAUACAAAGUCUAGAUAUCCUGAACUGAAUAAAUGCUUCAGACAACCAUCAGUCCAAAUGCAGAUUAUAACAGCUGAAUUAUUUGAAAUGACUCUAAUAUCAGGAGCCAUGGCAAAACUUGCAAAUACAGGGUUCAUCAGACGAAAUUAUCUCCAAGGCUCCUGCUGA